UACGAAGGGUGCAAGCGUUGUUCGGAAUUAUUGGGCGUAAAGCGCACGUAGGCGGCUUUGUAAGUCGGAUGUGAAAUCCCGCGGCUUAACCAAGGAAGUGCAUCCGAAACUACAGAGCUUGAGUACUUAAGAGGAUCGCGGAAUUCCCGGUGUAGAGGUGAAAUUCGUAGAUAUCGGGAGGAACACCAGUGGCGAAGGCGGCGCUCUGGGAAGAUACUGACGCUGAGGUGCGAAAGCGUGGGGAGCAAACAGG
rnacentral:rRNA from 1 species